CAAUCAAACGGUUAAGCAAAUUGAAUUAACAACUUAUGAAAUAACAACUGAAGGUAAUCAAUUCAUAAUGCAAAUAUAAUCAUGGUUUUGAAUAGCCCCCUAGCCAAGAAGGGCUUAGUUCCUCAUGUCCACAAAACAAAGAUACAUAAAUUUAGACAUUAAAAACAAAGAAUGAAAACACCUAGAAACGCUCCAACAAUCCAACGUCUUGAAUGGCAAGCACGUCCAAGGGUCUCCUUCCUUCUUCUUUGUUGCGGCACAAGGGAUGGGUGAAGGUUUUUGUGGUGAUUUGUGGUGGUGAAUGGAUAUAGGUUGGUUAUGGUGAAGGGUGGAGUGGUGGAUGGUCAGAAAAGAGAAGAGAAGAGAAGAGAGCCCCAGAGUUUGCGGCAAAAGGGUUUUAUAUAGGGCUAGGGCACGGUUUUUAUGAGUUUUAGGGAAAGAAAUAACUUAGCUAUUUUGUCCUAUAAUUAAAAGUCAGAAAUCAAUAGAAAAUAGGCAAGUAAGGUGUAGGAAUUAAAGAGAAAAGGAAGGGAAAUUCGGCAAAGAUUGUAGGGCAGAUUUAGGAAAGUGUUUUGGGUCAGAAAAUAGGCAAGAAAGGAUGUAAGGUGCGUCAUAGGUUAAGGGAAAAAGGGAAAGGAGUUUUUGGUUCAGAAAUUAGGCAAGGAGGGAAGGUAGGGUGUGGCAAUGAGAAGAAAUAAAAGAGGAAUGUGGUUUUAAGGCAGAAAAUAGGAAAUGAAGCUCUCCCUUGUGCAGCAAGGAAGGGGAUUCACCUAGGGUGGUGCGGCAAUGUCUAGGGCAGGUUCUAGGACUUCUAGAAACAUGUAAUUAGGCAACCUAACAUGUUUUGAAACCCUUUUGUGGCUGGAACAUAGGUGAGGGAGGAUUAGGAAACUUCCAAGCCAAGAAUAGAAACUUUCAAGAAUGGAAACCUCCAAGAAUAGAAACUUUGGUUUCCAAUUAUGAACUCUUUGUUCUUCAUUUUCAUUUAUUCAUUUCAUUAUUCAUUCCUAGCCUCCUUUGAUCUUCAAUUUCAUCCAUCCACCUUGCUCCAAGCAUAAGCUAUCCAUUCCAUGCCCAAAACUGCUCCAAAAGGCUCCAAAAUGCACAUGUUUGCAUACUUUGUCCUUAAAACCUGAAACUGCACGAAAAUAGCUUAAAAUACUAAAAUUACUAAGUACUAGCAACGUAAAUGCAAGGAAACAAGCUAAUUAAGUCGCAUGAAUAUGCUCCUAUCAAGUUCUCCUAGAUACAUAUUGAUAUUCGCAAGUUGGUUAUUUGAGUCUUCUACUUCUUGAGAAAUUUUUAUCCAUCUCUUCCACUUUCUUGAAAAGAUGAUGAAGGAUUAUUUUGUGAAAACAUGUUCAUUUGAAUAACAUCUAUAGCAUGCAUUUAACAAUUAAAAGGCGGAAUCAUGCUUGCAUGCAUUCAAAAACAAAACAUUACCCAUGAAAUUCAAAGCCUAGUAGAUUGGUGAACCAAGACUCAAUUCAAAUCAAAGUGAGUUGAGAAAUAUAUACCUUUGUAGAUUCCUCUUUGCAUAAGCAAAGGCUAAUCACCCAAAGAGAGGGCCUUCAUUCCUUGCUUCUUAGAUCCAUGGAUUUGGAUGGAAGAAUAUGGUUCUCUAAGUUCCCAAAAUUGAGAACCUCUAAGUAUCCACACCAAGGUAAGAUUG
rnacentral:lncRNA from 1 species